AUUCAACGCUGGCGGCAGGCCUAACACAUGCAAGUCGAACGAGUGGCGGACGGGUGAGUAAUGUCUGGGAAACUGCCUGAUGGAGGGGGAUAACUACUGGAAACGGUAGCUAAUACCGCAUACCAUCGGAUGUGCUCAGAUGGGCGUAGCUAGUAGGUGGGGUAAAGGCUCACCUAGGCGACGAUCCCUAGCUGGUCUGAGGGGAUGACAGGCCACACUGCAACUAAGACUCGUUCCAGACGCCUAGGGUAGUCAGCAGGGGGAACUCUUGCACAAUGGUCGCAAGCGUGAUGCAGCCAAGCCGGGUGUAUGAAGAAGGCCUGCGGGUUGUAAAGUACUUUAAGCGGGGAGGCGUUACCCGCAUAAGAAGCACCGGCUAACUCCGUGCCAGCAGCCGCGGUAAUUC
rnacentral:rRNA from 1 species